GGUUAAGCUAGAAAGGGCGCACGGUGGAUGCCUUGGCACUAGGAGCCGAUGAAGGACGGGGCAAACGCCGAAACGCUCCGGGGAGCUGUAAGCAAGCGUGGAUCCGGAGAUGUCCGAAUGGGGGAACCCACUGCUCGUAAUGGGGCAGUAUCCAUGCCUGAAUCCAUAGGGCAUGGAGGGCACACCCGGGGAACUGAAACAUCUUAGUACCCGGAGGAGAAGAAAGCAAACGCGAUUCCCCAAGUAGCGGCGAGCGAAACGGGAACAGCCCAAACCAAGAGGCGUGUCCUCUUGGGGUUGUAGGACCGCUCAUGGUGGGAGUGAGAAAGGGACGGGGUAGACGAACCGGUCUGGAACGGCCGGCCAGAGAAGGUGAGAGCCUGUAGUCGAAACUUCGUUCCCUCCCGAGCGGAUCCUGAGUACGGCGGGACACGAGGAAUCCCGUCGGAAGCAGGGAGGACCAUCUCCCAAGGCUAAAUACUCCCUAGUGACCGAUAGUGAACCAGUACCGUGAGGGAAAGGUGAAAAGCACCCCGGGAGGGGAGUGAAAGAGAACCUGAAACCGUGUGCCUACAAGUAGUCAGAGCCCGUUGAUGGGUGAUGGCGUGCCUUUUGUAGAAUGAACCGGCGAGUGACGAUGGCGUGCGAGGUUAAGCCGAAGAGGCGGAGCCGCAGCGAAAGCGAGUCUGAACAGGGCGAAAAGUACGUCGUCGUCGACCCGAAACCAGGUGAUCUACCCAUGUCCAGGGUGAAGGCCGGGUAACACCGGCUGGAGGCCCGAACCCACGCACGUUGAAAAGUGCGGGGAUGAGGUGUGGGUAGGGGUGAAAUGCCAAUCGAACUUGGAGAUAGCUGGUUCUCCCCGAAAUAGCUUUAGGGCUAGCCUCGGGCUUGAGAGUGUUGGAGGUAGAGCACUGAUUGGGCUAGGGGCCCAAACCGGGUUACCGAACCCAGUCAAACUCCGAAUGCCAACGACUUAUGCCCGGGAGUCAGACUACGAGUGAUAAGAUCCGUGGUCGAGAGGGGAACAGCCCAGACCGCCAGCUAAGGCCCCCAAGUGCACGUUCAGUGGAAAAGGAUGUGGAGUUGCCAAGACAACCAGGAUGUUGGCUUAGAAGCAGCCACCAUUUAAAGAGUGCGUAAUAGCUCACUGGUCGAGUGACUCUGCGCCGAAAAUGUACCGGGGCUAAACGUGCCGCCGAAGCUGCGGGAUGACCGUUGGUCAUCGGUAGGGGAGCGUUCUAAGGGCAGAGAAGCCAGACCGGAAGGACUGGUGGAGCGCUUAGAAGUGAGAAUGCCGGUAUGAGUAGCGAAAACAGAGGUGAGAAUCCUCUGCGCCGAAAGCCUAAGGGUUCCUGAGGAAGGUUCGUCCGCUCAGGGUUAGUCGGGACCUAAGCCGAGGCCGAAAGGCGUAGGUGAUGGACAACAGGUUGAGAUUCCUGUACCACCUUCUUCCCGUUUGAGCGAUGGGGGGACGCAGGAGGAUAGGGCGAGCAGGCGGCUGGAAGAGCCUGUCCAAGCCGUGAGGCUGAUCCGCAGGCAAAUCCGCGGAUUGGAAGGCCGAGCGGUGACGGCGACGGAGUCAUCCGGAAGUCCCCGAUUUCACACUGCCAAGAAAAGCCUCUAGCGAGGGAAGAGGUGCCCGUACCGCAAACCGACACAGGUAGGCGAGGAGAGAAUCCUAAGGCGCGCGGGAGAACUCUCGUUAAGGAACUCGGCAAAAUGACCCCGUAACUUCGGGAGAAGGGGUGCUCUUUGGGGUGAAGAGCCCUGAAGAGCCGCAGUGAAAAGGCCCAAGCGACUGUUUAUCAAAAACACAGGUCUCUGCGAAGCCGAAAGGCGACGUAUAGGGGCUGACACCUGCCCGGUGCUGGAAGGUUAAGGGGAGCGCUUAGCGGAAGCGAAGGUGCGAACCGAAGCCCCAGUAAACGGCGGCCGUAACUAUAACGGUCCUAAGGUAGCGAAAUUCCUUGUCGGGUAAGUUCCGACCCGCACGAAAGGUGUAACGACUUGGGCGCUGUCUCAACGAGAGACCCGGUGAAAUUAUACUACCUGUGAAGAUGCAGGUUACCCGCGACAGGACGGAAAGACCCCGUGGAGCUUUACUGCAGCCUGAUAUGGAAUUUUGGUAUCGCUUGUACAGGAUAGGUGGGAGCCUGGGAAGCCGGAGCGCCAGCUUCGGUGGAGGCGGCGGUGGGAUACCACCCUGGCGGUAUUGAAAUUCUAACCCGCACCCUUAGCGGGGUGGGAGACAGUGUCAGGCGGGCAGUUUGACUGGGGCGGUCGCCUCCCAAAAGGUAACGGAGGCGCCCAAAGGUUCCCUCAGAAUGGUUGGAAAUCAUUCGGAGAGUGCAAAGGCACAAGGGAGCUUGACUGCGAGACGGACAGGUCGAGCAGGGACGAAAGUCGGGCUUAGUGAUCCGGUGGUUCCGCAUGGAAGGGCCAUCGCUCAACGGAUAAAAGCUACCCCGGGGAUAACAGGCUGAUCUCCCCCAAGAGUCCACAUCGACGGGAGGUUUGGCACCUCGAUGUCGGCUCAUCGCAUCCUGGGGCUGUAGUCGGUCCCAAGGGUUGGGCUGUUCGCCCAUUAAAGCGGUACGCGAGCUGGGUUCAGAACGUCGUGAGACAGUUCGGUCCCUAUCCGUCGCGGGCGGAGGAAAUUUGAGAGGAGCUGUCCUUAGUACGAGAGGACCGGGAUGGACGCACCGCUGGUGUACCAGUUGUCCCGCCAGGGGCACCGCUGGGUAGCUAUGUGCGGACGGGAUAAGCGCUGAAAGCAUCUAAGCGUGAAGCCCCCCUCAAGAUGAGAUUUCCCACCGCGUUAGGCGGGUAAGAUCCCUCGAAGAUGACGAGGUCGAUAGGUCCGAGGUGGAAGCGUGGCGACACGUGGAGCUGACGGAUACUAAUCGAUCGAGGGCUUAACCUA
rfam:Geobacillus sp. BCO2 LR69_contig000107, whole genome shotgun sequence.